rnacentral:rRNA from 1 species
CGUUAAGCAAAUACACAAAAAACCCAAGUCCCAGUUCGGAUUGCAGUCUGCAACUCGACUGCAUGAAGCUGGAAUCGCUAGUAAUCGCGGAUCAGCAUGCCGCGGUGAAUACGUUCCCGGGCCUUGUACACACCGCCCGUCACACCAUGAGAGUCGGGAACACCCGAAGCCCGUAGCCUAACAGCAAUGAGGGCGCGGUCGAAGGUGGGUUCGAUAAUUGGGGUGAAGUCGUAACAAGGUACC